ensembl:lncRNA novel transcript
UAAAACAGGGCAGAUUAUUAUGUAGCAGCUAUUUAAUAGACAAAUAAGUGUAAGUUGAUGGAAAGCAGUAAUGUUCCUUAAUACAGACACUUGCACUUGGUAGACAGAUUCACCCAAGUUUGCAUAUUAUAAUUCCAGCCACCACACAGUGAGUGAGUGACUCUUUCUCACAAUAUCACUAACUCUAAGUCUCUGUCUCUCAUCACAUCCUAUAUUCUCACACCACCCCUGAGCCCUAGGGGACAUGAUGCCUACCCGAUCCUGCCGGCUGAGAGAAGGAUGGUAUAUUUUCUUACAUUAGUCAGGAGCUGGUUGGAGAAGAUGAACGUAGACAUACAUGAAGUGGCACGAAAACAAAGGUGAUAUAAGGACCACCUCCUGCACAAAACAGAACUGAGAAAAGGGGAAGACUUGUUUACUCGGAUUAGGUAGGAUAUACACGAAUCCAUCUCACACCAGAUAUUCUUCUGCUGUAGACUUCCAAGUGUUUCAGUCCACCAUUAAUCAUGGACUCUCACAAUUAGCAGAGAUGCAGAGUGACCUAAUCCAACAUCCCAGCUGAAACGUGAACAAACCACCCUCCCAAGGAAUUUGUCCACCCACCAAAGCUGUUUUCCAAUGUGACUUAACCUUGGGCACAUGUCCCCACCCCCAAAGGAAGCAACCCCUUCCAUCUUUGGGUUAAUGUUGGCUUCCUUCUAAAAUGAAUUGGCUCAAUUUCUCUGUUGAGUAA